AGAACACUUGGUUCCUGUUUCUAUGUUUAUACACAGAUCAAUCGAUGCCUCUUUUUAGCGAUAACACCGUUUGGUGCCUCUACCAAAAUUGUUUAUGUUUUUAUACAUGUAUUGUAAACUGUGUGCAAUAAAGAGUAUCGUGUUGAACCACUUGUACCCUCGUAUAUAUUAAGUUAAUGUAAUACUAGGAAUCAUGAUAUUUUAAUAAAAAAGAAUAUGUCAGUUUAUUCUGAUACUUGUACUUGUGUCGCAUUCUUGUUCCCCAUGCGCUGACCGUGAGGCUCGCGAUGUGUGUGAUCGUGUAAGCGAUGUCCCGCUCGCAUCCCGGAGCGGCGUGCGGACCCGCGUCCAAUGUGAAGAUCGCCCACGUCGCCUGCACGCUCUGCUCUGCACUCGACACCAUGCUGACAGCUCUGAAACAGCUCGCAAUGCACGCAGUGAUGUGCCGUCCGCAUCCCGGAGCGGCGUGCGGGGCCGGUAUCUAGUGUGAAGAUCGCCUUCGUCGCUUGCGUGCUCUGUUCUGCCGUCGUCCCCGUGCUAUCAGGUUGCUGCAAAAAGCUGCACUCAUGCGAAUACCUAGCCGUUGCAAUGAUUAGGCUGUUGUUAUAAAAGGAAAUCUACAGGGAGGAGUCGAAAAUGCAGAGAUGACAGCUCGCACAGAAAUGCCUAAAGCUCUGAAGCUUGUAAGCUGCUUAGAAAGUCGCCCAAAGCAUAUUGGCAUAGAGUUAUGGAGCCCGUCUGCAAAAAGGACCGGUUCGCGACGAUGGCGCCCUCGCUCGCGUCCGCGGGCUCGUGUGGAAGCUGCUCGUGCCUCACUGCAGUGGCACCUCUAUGACGCUGUCAAGGUACACGUGUACGCCGUCGAGACAGCAGGACGCGCGCGAGACUCCACGCCGAAGGCAAGCCCCACUAACUUAUGACAUGUAUAUUGUGCGUUGAGAUCAUGUUGUUAUUUAAUAUUUAAGAGAAAAGCUCUGCGAUAUUUGUAUUAGACUGAUGGAUGCUCGGAUUGGAAUGUAUCGUUACGUAACUAUUAAAAAUCUUAUAAUAUUACAGUAUAAGAGUGAAGUAUGUAAACAACUUAUAUUUUUAUUACAUUACACUAUAUUUAAGCGUAUUUUGUAUUAACUUAUUCCGUUUAUUUUGAUGCGGACCCUGGGGAUUAUAAUAAAAUUAAC